GAUGAACGCUGGCGGCGUGCCUAAUACAUGCAAGUAGAACGCUGAAGCUUGGUGCUUGCACCGAGCGGAUGAGUUGCGAACGGGUGAGUAACGCGUAGGUAACCUGCCUCUUAGCGGGGGAUAACUAUUGGAAACGAUAGCUAAUACCGCAUAAAAGUCGACAUUGCAUGAUGUUGACUUGAAAGGUGCAAUUGCAUCACUAAGAGAUGGACCUGCGUUGUAUUAGCUAGUUGGUGAGGUAACGGCUCACCAAGGCAACGAUACAUAGCCGACCUGAGAGGGUGAUCGGCCACACUGGGACUGAGACACGGCCCAGACUCCUACGGGAGGCAGCAGUAGGGAAUCUUCGGCAAUGGGGGCAACCCUGACCGAGCAACGCCGCGUGAGUGAAGAAGGUUUUCGGAUCGUAAAGCUCUGUUGUAAGAGAAGAACGAGUGUGAGAGUGGAAAGUUCACACUGUGACGGUAACUACCA
rnacentral:rRNA from 1 species